rnacentral:rRNA from 1 species
AUUGAACGCUGGCGGCAGGCCUAACACAUGCAAGUCGAACGGUAGCACAGAGAGCUUGCUCUCGGGUGACGAGUGGCGGACGGGUGAGUAAUGUCUGGGAAACUGCCCGAUGGAGGGGGAUAACUACUGGAAACGGUAGCUAAUACCGCAUAACGUCGCAAGACCAAAGUGGGGGACCUUCGAGCCUCACACCAUCGGAUGUGCCCAGAUGGGAUUAGCUAGUAGGUGGGGUAAUGGCUCACCUAGGCGACGAUCCCUAGCUGGUCUGAGAGGAUGACCAGCCACACUGGAACGGCGACACGGUCCAGACUCGUACGGGAGGCAGCAGUGGGGAAUAUUGCACAAUGGGCGCAAGCCUGAUGCAGCCAUGCCGCGUGUAUGAAGGAGGCCUUCGGGUUGUAAAGUACUUUCAGCGGGGAGGAAGGCAGUGAAGUUAAUAGCUUCACCGAUUGACGUUACCCGCAGAAGAAGCACCGGCUAACUCCGUGCCAGCAGCCGCAGUAA